UACGUAGGGGGCGAGCGUUGUCCGGAUUUAUUGGGCGUAAAGAGCGUGUAGGCGGCCAGGUAGGUCUGCUGUGAAAACUCGAGGCUCAACCUCGAGACGUCGGCGGAAACCAUCUGGCUAGAGUCCGGAAGAGGAGAGUGGAAUUCCUGGUGUAGCGGUGAAAUGCGCAGAUAUCAGGAGGAACACCUAUUGCGAAGGCAGCUCGCUGGGACGUUACUGACGCUGAGACGCGAAAGCGUGGGGAGCAAACAGG
rnacentral:rRNA from 1 species